rnacentral:lncRNA from 1 species
CUGGAUCAGAGGGGAGUGGGCGAGCUGGUUAAGUUUGCUACAGAGAGGGGUCGCAAAGCUAGGCCUAACUUGAAGGUUAGUUUUUGGGACUUGUGGACAUUGGCUCUUUUCCUUAGAAAUCAUGGUUUCAUUGUUUGGUGCUGUCUGCAAACAGGUGGGCAUCUGUGGAGAACACGGUGGGGAGCCUUCGUCAGUUGCAUUCUUUGCAAAGUCGGGGCUGGAUUAUGUUUCUUGCUCGCCUUUCAGGUUGGUCAAGUGAUAAACUCAAGAUACAACUCCCAGAUUCAUAACUGUAGCAAAACCUUAACUACUUUUUAUGAAAUAUCUUGUGCAGGGUUCCCAUCGCCAGGCUAGCUGCAGCUCAGGUGCUCGUCUGAGGGCACCGCCUCAUCGGCAACCGGAUCACCUGCUGUUGGUGCGUCUGGUGAAGAAUACUAAUACAAAGCCAUGGAACGGUGGAACUCUGCUGCCUGGCAAAGGCCGUUGUAUCUUGUAUGAAGUCUCCGUGCGCGUGCGCAUGUAAGACUUAAUGUGUGGUUUUCUGCAUUUUCCCUUGAACUACCAUGGUAAUGUAGUACCAAACAGAGAUGAUGACGAAGAACAAUCGAAUAAAUUAAUUGGCGAUUAC